rnacentral:rRNA from 1 species
UCAUCCUACGGGACGCAGCAGUGGGGAAUAUUGCACAAUGGGGGGAACCCUGAUACAGCGACGCCGCGUGGGUGAAGGAGUACUUCGGUACGUAAAGCCCUCUCAGCAGGAAAGAAAAUGACGGUACCUGACUAAGAAGCCCCGGCUAACUACGUGCCAGCAGCCGCGGUAAUACGUAGGGGGCAAGCGUUAUCCGGAUUUACUGGGUGUAAAGGGAGCGUAGACGGCAGUGCAAGUCCGGAGUGAACGCCCGGGGCUCAAC